CGCUUCGUUGUCCGGGGACUUUGACUUUGGAUUAUGAGAAGCGGAUUAGUUAUCCUUUUAUCUGUUUUCGGCCAAGUGUGGCCCUUUGAAUUUGGAUUUUGUUUAGGCCUAGAUGGCCGUAUUUGUAUUUACCGGGACUGGCCGUUGGUGGCUUUGAAUCCCUUGCCGCUUUACGCGGUUUAUUUAUAUGAUAAAUGUUUUAUUUCGAAUUU
rnacentral:lncRNA from 1 species